rnacentral:rRNA from 1 species
UACGAAGGGGGCUAGCGUUGUUCGGAAUCACUGGGCGUAAAGGGUGUGCAGGCGGAUUUUUAAGUCAGGGGUGAAAUCCCGAGGCUCAACCUUGGAACUGCGUUUGAUACUGGGGAUCUUGAGUCCGGAAGAGGUGAGUGGAACUGCGAGUGUAGAGGUGAAAUUCGUAGAUAUUGGCAAGAACACCGGUGGCGAAGGCGGCCCACUGGGCCGGAACUGACGCUGAGGCACGAAAGCGUGGGGAGCGAACAGG